AACGCUAGCUACAGGCUUAACACAUGCAAGUCGAGGGGCAUCAGGAAGAAAGCUUGCUUUCUUUGCUGGCGACCGGCGCACGGGUGAGUAACACGUAUCCAACCUGCCGAUGACUCGGGGAUAGCCUUUCGAAAGAAAGAUUAAUACCCGAUGGUAUAUCUGAAAGGCAUCUUUCAGCUAUUAAAGAAUUUCGGUCAUUGAUGGGGAUGCGUUCCAUUAGGUUGUUGGCGGGGUAACGGCCCACCAAGCCAUCGAUGGAUAGGGGUUCUGAGAGGAAGGUCCCCCACAUUGGAACUGAGACACGGUCCAAACUCCUACGGGAGGCAGCAGUGAGGAAUAUUGGUCAAUGGACGAGAGUCUGAACCAGCCAAGUAGCGUGAAGGAUGACUGCCCUAUGGGUUGUAAACUUCUUUUAUACGGGAAUAAAGUUAGGCACGUGUGCCUUUUUGUAUGUACCGUAUGAAUAAGGAUCGGCUAACUCCGUGCCAGCAGCCGCGGUAAUACGGAGGAUCCGAGCGUUAUCCGGAUUUAUUGGGUUUAAAGGGAGCGUAGGCGGAUGCUUAAGUCAGUUGUGAAAGUUUGCGGCUCAACCGUAAAAUUGCAGUUGAUACUGGGUGUCUUGAGUACAGUAGAGGCAGGCGGAAUUCGUGGUGUAGCGGUGAAAUGCUUAGAUAUCACGAAGAACUCUGAUUG
rnacentral:rRNA from 1 species